rnacentral:rRNA from 1 species
AGAGAGAGACAUGCGCGCAUAUCAAUAAGCGGAGGAAAAGAAACUAACAAGGAUUCCCCUAGUAACGGCGAGUGAAGCGGGAAGAGCUCAAAUUUGAAAUCUUAAAGGGUUUCCCUUUACGAAUUGUAGUUUAAAGAAGUGUUUUCUGUUGAGGUUUUGGUAAAAGUUCUUUGGAAUAGGACAUCAUAGAGGGUGAGAAUCCCGUAUUUGACCUUUACUUUCAACUUUGUGAUACACUUUCAAAGAGUCGGAUUGUUUGGGAAUGCAGUCCAAAAUGGGUGGUAAAUUUCAUCUAAAGCUAAAUAUUGGCGAGAGACCGAUAGCGAACAAGUACCGUGAGGGAAAGAUGAAAAGAACUUUGAAAAGAGAGUUAAACAGUACGUGAAAUUGUCAAAAGGGAAGCGUUUGACACCAGUGUUGUUUCUCUGAAAAUCAAUUAAAGAACUGUUUAUGCUAAGCUGUUUAGACUUUAUCAGCUAAUCUGUUUAGUUUUGAGCUUUUCUUUAAUGCACCUUUUCAGUUAACAAGUCAACAUCAAUUUCUUUUGCUGAAAAAUAGCUUGAGGAAGGUGGCUUGAGAUUCGUCUUAAGUGUUUAUAGCCUCUUGCCUAUGCAGUCGGAGAGAUUGAGGUCUGCAGCGUAGAUCCUUCGGGGCUAAAUGCAUUUGUGCUAAGUUAUAGCAUUUUAUAGACAACUUGUUGACUAUGAUUUGUCUUGUAGCUUACUCGCUUAUGUUAUUUUACCUACGCUUAGGAUGUUGACGCAUGAGAUAUACGC